rnacentral:tRNA from 1 species
GAGGGAGACACAUAGACCUGCUAAAUCUUUAACCCGACUUAACCGCCGGCCCCCUCU